GUGAUGGCUUCGGCAGCACAUAUACUAAAAUUGGGAUGAUAGAGCAGAUUAGCAUGGCCCCUGCACAAGGAUGACACACAGAUUCAUGAAACAUUCCAUUAAAAA